rnacentral:rRNA from 1 species
GUUAGGAAUAUUGGACAAUGGGCGCAAGCCUGAUCCAGCCAUGCCGCGUGAGUGAUGAAGGCCUUCGGGUUGUAAAGCUCUUUAGUCCACGAAUAUAAUGACUGUAGUGGAAGAAUAAGCCCCGGCUAACUUCGUGCCAGCAGCCGCGGUAAUACGAAGGGGGCGUGCGUUAUUCGGAAUCACUGGGCGUAAAGCGUGCGUAGGCUGUUUUGUAAGUCAGAAGUGAAAGCCCAGGGCUUAACCCUGGAAUUGCUUUUGAAACUACAAGACUCGAAUUCGGGAGAGGAUAGCGGAAUUGUCAGUGUAGCAGUGAAAUGCGUAGAUAUUGACAGGAACACCAGUGGCGCAAGCGGCUAUCUGGACCGAUAUUGACGCUGAGGCACGAAAGCGUGGGGAGCAAACAGGAUUAGAAACCCGGGUAGUCC